UGGUCUCAAACCAUUUCAUUUCCAUCUGUAGCCAAAGAUUCGCCAUCAGACAACUGCAAAACCCCAUGCACAGACCCCAGAAAUGUCUGAAUUUGGGGAGACUGGAGGGGAGAUGGAAGAUGCAGAGUGAGUGCCAAUAAAAGCAGCCGAAGGAUUCAAGAAAAGCCUGUCGAGUAUGAUCCAGCGUUCCUGCCAUGGCCGAUGUGGAAACAGGCAGUGUGGCUACAGGAAGCAGAAGUGAGGCUGUACCACAGGCUGUCACUGUGAUGCAACAAAAUGUAUCUGCUGGACCAUCCUGAGGCCCAAACGAGAUUCUAAAGGAUCCUUCAAACUGGAAGAUCCCAUUGAUGUGACUGCUGGGGAGACCACCUUUGAACCAAUAUGUAUCAUUCUGAACAAGAAGGUAGAAAUGAGAAAUGGGGGAGCCUGGGUGGAAUUGAUUUCCAGCCACUGGCUGCCGUAUCUUGUUCAUGGCUAGCAGUGGGCACUAAAUCAGGAGAAAUUUCCCCAAGACCCUUUCACUGCCUCUGCCUCUUGCUUGGCCCCAACCUUCUGAGCAGCCUGGGGAAAUUAGCCUUUUUUGCUCUCAAAUAAGCCAUUGAGAUGUUGGCCCUUUACCUGGCUCAGCUCACCUCACCCUAAUUGAUUCCUGGUGUCCUUAUGCCAGCCAAGUACACUAGAUUCUGCUCCCUCCC